AUUUCUUGAUUCGUUUUUAGAUUAAUUCUGAUUAAGUAUAUACUGGCUAUUUUGUUGCUAUGGCAUUCCAAGAGGGACAAACGACUAAUCCUUCUGCUGCUGCUAAUGACCUUGACACCAGUUUUAGUAGUACAGAGCCCGUAGACCCAUUUGAUGAAAGCUUUCAACCUAGAAUAAGCUCAACCUCAUCUGAUUUUGAAACAAGCCAGGACAGCCAAAGUCUUCAGGUCAAAGCAGUGGGUGGUGAAGAACAUCGCCAACGCCUGCUAACCAGCUGCCAUUACCCAAAACACAAGAGGUUCAACCAGGUGAAGAACAUUCUGGAACCUGCCUGGAACAUUAAACCAAAACAACAUCCAUAUUCAGUUAGACUGAUGUAGUAUAAUAUAGAAUGCCUUGUAUGCUCACAACUGCAUUGCGGUAUAGAGAUUGCUAGCUGUUGUACAUAAUAUUUUGUGUGUACUGACAAGUGACUAAAUGAUUCCAGCUGCAUCUGAAACCAAUAAAGUGUUGACUUCAA